rnacentral:rRNA from 2 species
UUAAUUUGAGAGUUUGAUCCUGGCUCAGGACGAACGCUGGCGGCGUGCCUAAUACAUGCAAGUCGAACGAACUCUGGUAUUGAUUGGUGCUUGCAUCAUGAUUUACAUUUGAGUGAGUGGCGAACUGGUGAGUAACACGUGGGAAACCUGCCCAGAAGCGGGGGAUAACACCUGGAAACAGAUGCUAAUACCGCAUAACAACUUGGACCGCAUGGUCCGAGCUUGAAAGAUGGCUUCGGCUAUCACUUUUGGAUGGUCCCGCGGCGUAUUAGCUAGAUGGUGGGGUAACGGCUCACCAUGGCAAUGAUACGUAGCCGACCUGAGAGGGCAAUCGGCCACAUUGGGACUGAGACACGGCCCAAACUCCUACGGGAGGCAGCAGUAGGGAAUCUUCCACAAUGGACGAAAGUCUGAUGGAGCAACGCCGCGUGAGUGAAGAAGGGUUUCGGCUCGUAAAACUCUGUUGUUAAAGAAGAACAUAUCUGAGAGUAACUGUUCAGGUAUUGACGGUAUUUAACCAGAAAGCCACGGCUAACUACGUGCCAGCAGCCGCGGUAAUACGUAGGUGGCAAGCGUUGUCCGGAUUUAUUGGGCGUAAAGCGAGCGCAGGCGGUUUUUUUUAAGUCUGAUGUGAAAGCCUUCGGCUCAACCGAAGAAGUGCAUCGGAAACUGGGAAACUUGAGUGCAGAAGAGGACAGUGGAACUCCAUGUGUAGCGGUGAAAUGCGUAGAUAUAUGGAAGAACACCAGUGGCGAAGGCGGCUGUCUGGUCUGUAACUGACGCUGAGGCUCGAAAGUAUGGGUAGCAAACAGGAUUAGAUACCCUGGUAGUCCAUACCGUAAACGAUGAAUGCUAAGUGUUGGAGGGUUUCCGCCCUUCAGUGCUGCAGCUAACGCAUUAAGCAUUCCGCCUGGGGAGUACGGCCGCAAGGCUGAAACUCAAAGGAAUUGACGGGGGCCCGCACAAGCGGUGGAGCAUGUGGUUUAAUUCGAAGCUACGCGAAGAACCUUACCAGGUCUUGACAUACUAUGCAAAUCUAAGAGAUUAGACGUUCCCUUCGGGGACAUGGAUACAGGUGGUGCAUGGUUGUCGUCAGCUCGUGUCGUGAGAUGUUGGGUUAAGUCCCGCAACGAGCGCAACCCUUAUUAUCAGUUGCCAGCAUUAAGUUGGGCACUCUGGUGAGACUGCCGGUGACAAACCGGAGGAAGGUGGGGAUGACGUCAAAUCAUCAUGCCCCUUAUGACCUGGGCUACACACGUGCUACAAUGGAUGGUACAACGAGUUGCGAACUCGCGAGAGUAAGCUAAUCUCUUAAAGCCAUUCUCAGUUCGGAUUGUAGGCUGCAACUCGCCUACAUGAAGUCGGAAUCGCUAGUAAUCGCGGAUCAGCAUGCCGCGGUGAAUACGUUCCCGGGCCUUGUACACACCGCCCGUCACACCAUGAGAGUUUGUAACACCCAAAGUCGGUGGGGUAACCUUUUAGGAACCAGCCGCCUAAGGUGGGACAGAUGAUUAGGGUGAAGUCGUAACAAGGUAGCCGUAGGAGAACCUGCGGCUGGAUCACCUCCUUUCUAAGGAAUAUUACGGAA